GUCCGUUUCCUGUAUGGAGUUUAGCUGCUACCCUGGUGCCUGACUCCUGCACAUGGUGGUAGAAAUAAAAACCUCCGAUGCUCCUGGUGAAGGUUUGUCAGAGGAAUCGGAGGACACGCCCUGGGUUCCUACAAUAUAGGAUCCGCUCAGUGGAUAUCUUCUAUUUAAGAUCCUUCUCCUCAUUAACCCGUCAAGGAUGGAUAGGGAGAGGGACAAGAUGGCGGAGAGUAUAAUAAAUCUCACCCUAGAGAUCCUCUUCCGGCUUACUGGAGAGGACUACACAGUAGUGAAGAAGACCUCUAGUAAGGGCUGUCAGGCCCCUGUGUCUG